UUCAGUUAGCAGCAGAGCUCUUAAUCACUGUGCCACCAGGGCUAGAGAGAAGAUUCGCAGCUUUUCUGUCACGUGUGGACCCUCUGGUGUCUCCUGGAGAAGACAGAGGGCAGUUGACCUUUCCCCGAAAGAGGGUAAAGAGCAGCCGGCGCCACCUGAGGAACCACAAACUCACUGCUUCCCACCCCUCCAAACACACCUACCUACCCUUGGCCAAAUCCAGUCGGACAAACCCAAUAACGUGUCUCCUGAAGCUUCUCUGCAGGCCUAUCAGGAAUCUUUAUCCCGGGAGCGGUGGUGCACAGCAAUGGUCAGACACUGAAGAGCCCUGGCAACUAACUACCUCCCCAACUCAGGCAAGGGAGAAGACAACAUAGCAGGCUGCUGGACGCUUUCAAACCUGAUGCUGGCCACCCA